UACGAACUGUGCGAACGUUAUUCGGAAUCACUGGGCUUACAGGGUGCGUAGGCUGCGAUGCAAGUCAGGUGUGAAAGCCCACAGCUCAACUGUGGAAUGGCGCUUGAAACUGCAUUGCUGGAGUGAGCUAGAGGUACACGGAACUUCCGGUGGAGCGGUGAAAUGUGUUGAUAUCGGAAGGAACACCAGAGGCGAAAGCGGUGUACUGGAGCUUGUCUGACGCUGAGGCACGAAAGCCAGGGGAGCAAACGGG
rnacentral:rRNA from 1 species